AAAAUGCGCAGAUAUCAGAAAGACCCCCGAUGGCGAAGGCAGGUCUCUGGGCCAUUACUGACAUUGAGAAGCGAAAGCAUGGGGAGCGAACAGGAUUAGAUACCCUGGUAGUCCAUGCCGUAAACGUUGGGCACUAGGUGUGGGCGACAUUCCACGUUGUCUGCGCCGUAGCUAACGCAUUAAGUGCCCCGCCUGGGGAGUACGGCCGCAAGGCUAAAACUCAAAGGAAUUGACGGGGGCCCGCACAAGCGGCGGAGCAUGCGGAUUAAUUCGAUGCAACGCGAAGAACCUUACCAAGGCUUGACAUGCACCGGACAGCUGCAGAGAUGUGGCUUUCUUUGGACUGGUGCACAGGUGGUGCAUGGUUGUCGUCAGCUCGUGUCGUGAGAUGUUGGGUUAAGUCCCGCAACGAGCGCAACCCUCGUUCUAUGUUGCCAGCGCGUCAUGGCGGGGACUCAUAGGAGACUGCCGGGGUCAACUCGGAGGAAGGUGGGGACGACGUCAAAUCAUCAUGCCCCUUAUGUCUUGGGCUUCACGCAUGCUACAAUGGCCGGUACAAAGGGUUGCGAAACUGUGAGGUGGAGCGAAUCCCAAAAAGCCGGUCUCAGUUCGGAUUGGGGUCUGCAACUCGACCCCAUGAAGUCGGAGUCGCUAGUAAUCGCAGAUCAGC
rnacentral:rRNA from 1 species